UACGUAGGGAGCAAGGCGUUGUCCGGAAUCAUUGGGCGUAAAGCGCGCGUAGGCGGCCCUGUAAGUCCGUUGUGAAAGUCAAAGGCUCAACCUUUGAAAGCCGAUGGAUACUGCAGGGCUAGAGUCCGGAAGAGGCGAGUGGAAUUCCUGGUGUAGCGGUGGAAUGCGCAGAUAUCAGGAGGAACACCAAUAGCGAAGGCAGCUCGCUGGGACGGUACUGACGCUAAGGCGCGAAAGCGUGGGGAGCGAACAGG
rnacentral:rRNA from 1 species